AAAUUGUGGUCCUAAAUCCGGUAGC
rnacentral:piRNA from 1 species